GACCACAUAGUUCAACGGCCGCGGUAUUUUGACCGUGCAAAGGUAGCGUAAUCACUUGUCUUUUAAAUGAAGACCUGUAUGAAUGGCAUAACGAGGGCUUAACUGUCUCCUUCCCCCGGUCAAUGAAAUUGAUCUCCCCGUGCAGAAGCGGGGAUUAAACCAUAAGACGAGAAGACCCUAUGGAGCUUUAGACACACAGGUGGCCCAUGUCAAGCACCCCCUAUUAAGGGCCUGAACUAAAUGGUACCUGCCUUGAUGUCUUCGGUUGGGGCGACCAUGGGGAAUACAAAACCCCCACGUGGAAAGGGAACACACCCCUAAGUUACUUCUUCUCCCGCAAGCCAGAGCAACAACUCUAACCAGCAGAAAUUCUGACCAAACUGAUCCGGUAAAACCGAUCAACGAACCAAGUUACCCUAGGGAUAACAGCGCAAUCCCC
rnacentral:rRNA from 1 species